GGAGGAUCCGAGCGUUAUCCGGAUUUACUGGGUGUAAAGGGAGCGUAGACGGCAAGGCAAGUCUGAUGUGAAAGGCUGGGGCUCAACCCCGGGACUGCAUUGGAAACUGUCCUGCUGGAGUGCCGGAGAGGUAAGCGGAAUUCCUAGUGUAGCGGUGAAAUGCGUAGAUAUUAGGAGGAACACCAGUGGCGAAGGCGGCUUACUGGACGGUAACUGACGUUGAGGCUCGAAAGCGUGGGGAGCAAACAGGAUUAGAUACCCUGGUAGUCCACGCGGUAAACGAUGAAUACUAGGUGUUGGGUGUCACAGACAUUCGGUGCCGCAGCAAACGCAAUAAGUAUUCCACCUGGGGAGU
rnacentral:rRNA from 1 species